UGCAAGUCGACUUGCUUUUGAUUAGCAAUAGUCAAAAGAGAGUGGCGCACGGGUGAGUAACACGUAGAUAAUCUACCCUCAGGACUGACAUAAUGUAGAGAAAUCUGCACUAAUAUCAGAUGAACAAAAUCCUGGCAUCAGAGAUUUUGUCAAAGUUUUAACGCCUGAAGAUGAGUCUGCGGUCCAUUAGGUAGUUGGCGGUUUAACAGACCACCAAGCCGACGAUGGAUAGCUGGUCUGAGAGGAUGAUCAGCCACACUGGAACUGAGACACGGUCCAGACUCCUACGGGAGGCAGCAGUAAGGAAUAUUGCUCAAUGGGAGAAAUCCUGAAGCAGCAACGCCGCGUGGAGGAUGAAGGGCUUUCAGCUUGUAAACUCCUGUAAAGAAGGAAAAAAUUCCCAUUAGAUGGGAGAUGAUGGUACUUCUAAAGUAAGCCCCGGCUAACUACGUG
rnacentral:rRNA from 1 species